UGCGCCUCGUGUUCUCAAACCUGCAAAGUGAUUUCUGUCUGUCUGUCUAAGGCAAUUAAAAACUUCCUCAACUGCUGAUGAGGAGUGUGAUGCAGAUGAAAGCUCCAGAACAAACAACUUGACAUUUGGUACGGUGAAGAUAGAAGACACUGCAGGGGGAGAAGACGCAAGCGGAUUAGAAGUAUGUAGGCUGACAGGAAGAAGAACAUUUCCAACCAAAACUGCCAUGUGGACACACAGUCAGGCUGAGCUGCCAACCGACCGGCCACCACACAAGCUAGCCAGCCACCCAGCGAGCAAGUCCACCUCUCACACUGCCAGCCUAAUCCUACUAGCCAACCACCCAACUGUCUUCAAAUUCAGCCUCCAGCCUGCCAGCGAGCCAACAGUGGGUCCAGUCAGCCAGUUAAGUUCCAGGGUUGGCCUGAACUGGCCACAGCUUCCUGGGUGCCAGAGGUGAAGGCCGGAGUACCCAGAAAUAGAAGGAGGGGAAGUGAAAGGAAGAUAGAAUGAUAAGAUGAUAGGCACUAUUCAGAUUUUGGGUACAUUUUAGUAACAGUUAUGGCAAUUGUGUAAACCAUACCAUUGUAUUACUGUUAUCUUCUAGAAGGAUUUAACAGGAUGUGGUUCUAUUUAUCAUAUAUGUUACCACAACUGCAGAGGUAA